rnacentral:sRNA from 1 species
AAAAAGCAGGGAUUCUAGUGGAUGAAAUCCCCCCAUUCAGGAAGGUGCUCAGGCUGCCUUGCAGCCGUCGAAGGGGAA